rnacentral:lncRNA from 1 species
UCAUGUAAUAGCUGCUUGUUCUGCUUAAAUUGGUUAUGGUUUUCAUAAAAUGUUGCGUGAAUGUAGAUCUGUGUUCUGGAGAAGCUUGCUUGUUACACUGUCGCAGAAUUCCUUAAUAGAUUUAGGAGCUCGUGUAAACAACUGCAUGUUUGUGCCUUGUUAUAAAAUUGAAAAGGUUAGAUUAGGGUCUUAUAAGAAAAUGUCAAUGUCGUAGAACUGAUAGUGAACUACCUUCCACAUUUGAAUAGAUAAAAAUACUUUGAGGAGAUCUAAUUGUUCAUGAUC